GGGGUGAUGCGAUAGUGGUUCAAUCGGCUGACUUUACGCAUUCCGCGCAAGCUAGAUGCAUCGUCAGAAACCUCAGUUCGAACCUGAGUCACCUCA